UACGGUCACAUGACGUUGAAACACCGGUUCUCGUACGAUGACCGAAUUUAAGCAACGUCGAGCCUGGUCAGUACCUAGAUGGGUGACCACCUAAGAAGAUCAG